UAAUUUAAAGUCUAGCCUGCCCUAUGAAUAUUUAAAUGGCCGCAGUAUUUUGACUGUGCAAAGGUAGCAUAAUAAUUAGUUUUUUGAUUGGGAACUGGUAUGAAUGGCUGGACGAGAGAAAUACUGUCUCAGUUUAAUUUUAAUUAGAAUUUUAUUUUUAAGUUAAAAAGCUUAAAUAAAUUUAAAAGACGAGAAGACCCUAUAGAGUUUUAUAUUAUUUUUUAUUUUUAAAAAUUUAAGAAUUAUUAAUUUAAUUUUAAAAAUUAAUAUUUGAUUGGGGUGAUUUAAAAAUUUAAUAAACUUUUUAUAUAUAAGUACAUUGAUAUAUGAAUAUAUGAUCCAUAUUUUAUGAUUAAAAGAUUAAAUUACCUUAGGGAUAACAGCGUAAUUUUUUUUGAGAGUUCUUAUCGAAAGAAAAGUUUGCGACCUCGAUGUUGGAUUAAAAUUAAUUUUUGGUGUAGGUGCUAAGAAUAUUAGGUC
rnacentral:rRNA from 1 species